rnacentral:rRNA from 1 species
GACGAACCGUGCGAACGUUGUUCGGAAUCACUGGGCUUAAAGGGCGCGUAGGCGGGCUGCCAAGUCUGGGGUGAAAUCCCACGGCUCAACCGUGGAACUGCCUCGGAUACUGGCGGCCUCGAGGGAGGUAGGGGCGUGCGGAACUGUGGGUGGAGCGGUGAAAUGCGUUGAUAUCCAUAGGAACUCCGGUGGCGAAGGCGGCACGCUGGACCUCUUCUGACGCUGAGGCGCGAAAGCCAGGGGAGCAAACGGG